rnacentral:lncRNA from 1 species
CCGGAGAAGAUAAUGCUGGUAGAUUCGCCGGGAUUUGUCUCCAUCGUCGUCGAGCGAAGAAGCGACGAGUCGCACAAAGUCGAGAGAUUUCGUCGUCGAGAGAAGAAGGCGAAGGCAGAGACACGAAUCUCUUUGUCUUCCUAUUCGUUCGUCGGAGAUGAUAGAUGGUGAAAGUGUUUGUCGUGUCAUCACCGGAGUUGAUUGAAUCUCGUUGGCGGCCCGUCGUGAGAGAGAUCAGAGAAAUAGUAGAGUCGUGAGAGAGAGAGAUCAGAGAGGUUUUUAUUUUUUUUUUAUAUUUUUAAUAUAAAACAAGGGUACUAAGGACAUUUGGUCCAUUAAUGAAUGUUAUUUUGUGACUUUUCCCUUCCCAUUAUAUUUUUGAGAUGAAAACUCAAAAAAGUCUAUCUUGGAGAAUUGCCCAUAAAUAUAUAAAAAAUACUUUAAUUUUUUUUUUAAAAUAGUUUCAAAAUUAAUUUUGAUUUUCAAAAAGAAACUUUGAAAAAAAAUUAUUAAAAAUUUCGAAUUUGAAAUAGUAUAAUUCGAAAACAUUAAAAAAAAAUUGUCAUUUUAUUUAUUUAUUUAUUUAAAUAAUUAUUUAUUAUAUAUAGAGAGAACAAUGAUAUAAGAGUCUUUUGCCACUUAAUGAAGAAUGUAUUUUUGAAAAUUUCUCUUUAGUGGUGGUAACAUAAAUAAAUACCAAAUUGUUAGUAUAUUUUUAAUUGAGGGUAUUUUAAAAAAGUGGUACUUA